rnacentral:rRNA from 1 species
ACAUGCCUACAUCAUAGUGUUAAUGCAUCAGAUCCCAUUAGAACUCUGUAGUUAAGUGCGCUUAGGCUAUAGUAGUACUGGGAUGGGUGAUCGCCCGAGAAGUCCUAGUGUUUUACAUGCC